ACCACAUACACCCUUACAGUCCCACCGCACUAAAUCAACAGCUACUUCCUCUUAAGGACAUUUAGGGAUAGCGUCUGUCUCUACGGGCAGAAGUCUGUCGCGGGAAGAAGUAGUGGACAAGCUGCUACAGGUUACCCGCGCAGUGAAGUGUUCGAGGCCUGUUCAGACAGAUGUGCAAGAUAGCCUUUUGUUAUUUUUCUAUAGGGACAGUAUUAGAACGAGAGAUAGUAGUUUUAGUAAAAAUUGCCAUUUUAAG
rnacentral:lncRNA from 1 species